AGUUGAUCCUGGCUAGGACGAACGCUGGCGGCGUGCCUAAUACAUGCAAGUCGAACGGUCUUUCUAUGGAAGCUUGCUUCCACUGAGAAGAUAGUGGCGAACGGGUGAGUAACACGUGGGUAACCUGCCCAUAAGAGGGGGGAUAACAUCCGGAAACGGGUGCUAAUACCGCAUAGUUUUCUUGAUCGCAUGAUCGGGAAAGGAAAGACGGCCUUUGUGCUGUCGCUUAUGGAUGGACCCGCGGCGUAUUAGUUAGUUGGUGAGGUAACGGCUCACCAAGACGAUGAUACGUAGCCGACCUGAGAGGGUGAUCGGCCACGUUGGGACUGAGACACGGCCCAAACUCCUACGGGAGGCAGCAGUAGGGAAUCUUCCGCAAUGGACGAAAGUCUGACGGAGCAACGCCGCGUGAGUGAAAGAAGGUUUUCGGAUCGUAAAACUCUGUUGUCAGAGAAGAACAAGUUGGAGAGUAACUGCUCCAGCCUUGACGGUAUCUGACCAGAAAGCCACGGCUAACUACGUGCCAGCCGCGGC
rnacentral:rRNA from 1 species